UCGAAGUAUAAAAAAUGGCUAACUCCAUGAAGUUAUAAACGUAUAUGCAACAUUUUGUUCUUUUUGUUACAUGCAGAUGCAAUAAUGAACAUCGUAGUAGAGUUUUUAUGGCUGAGAAAAAAGAUAGAGAAGCUUUUUUUCCCUCCCUGCGAAGUGUAAGAGGAAGAAAAUGUUUAACGUUGAGGUAAAGAAAUCCAGAUAAGCAAUUAGUAUAUUUGUUGUUUACAGUGGUGUACAUAGAUAAACUGAAUUCUACAUUUACCUAAUAACACACCUCUCACUGACUUAGCUAUUUCACAGUCUAUCUUUGCUUAUUAUUGCGAACUGAGAAACUAAAACUACAGUUAAUUACAGAUGAAAAAA